ensembl:snRNA U1 U1 spliceosomal RNA
AUACUUACCUGGCAGGGGAGAUACCAUGAUCACGAAGGUGGUUUUCCCAGGGCGAGGCUUAUCCAUUGCACUCCGGAUGUGCUGACCCCUGCGAUUUCCCCAAAUGUGGGAAACUCGACUGCAUAAUUUGUGGUAGUGGGGGACUGCGUUCGCGCUUUUCCCUG